CACGGGGGGAGCAAGCGUUGUUCGGAAUCACUGGGCGUAAAGGGCGUGUAGGCGGUCAAGUAAGUGGAAUGUGAAAGCCCCCGGCUUACCCGGGGAUCUGCAUCCCAAACUGCUUGGCUUGAGUACGGGAGAGGAUAGGGGAAUUCCUGGUGUAGCGGUGAAAUGCGUAGAUAUCAGGAGGAACACCGGUGGCGAAGGCGCCUAUGUGGCCCGAUACUGACGCUGAGGCGCGAAAGCUAGGGGAGCAAACGGG
rnacentral:rRNA from 1 species